GGGGAUGUGGCUUAAGCGGUAGCGUGCUUGCCUGGCAUGCAAGGGGUGCUGGGUUCGAUCCUCAGCACCACA
rnacentral:tRNA from 1 species